GACAGAGGUGCCAAGCGUUAGGCGGAAUCACUGGGCUUAAAGCGUGUGUAGGCGGAUCGUUAAGUGCUUUGUGAAAUCCCACAGCUCAACUGUGGAACUGCUUGGCAUACUGGCGAUCUUGAGCCAUCUAGGGGUUGCCGGAACAAACGGUGGAGCGGUGAAAUGCGUAGAUAUCGUUUGGAACGCCAAUGGUGAAAACAGGCAACUGGGGAUGCGCUGACGCUGAGACACGAAAGCCAGGGGAGCAAACGGG
rnacentral:rRNA from 1 species